rnacentral:rRNA from 1 species
AUUGAACGCUGGCGGCAUGCUUUACACAUGCAAGUCGAACGGUAACAGGCCGCACGGUGCUGACGAGUGGCGGCCGGGUGCGUAAUGCAUCGGAACGUGCACAGUCGUGGGGGGUAACUACUCGCAACGGUAGCUAAUACCGCAUACGAUCUAUUGAUGAAAGCGGGGGACCGCAAGGCCUCGCGCGAUUGGAGCGGCCGAUGUCAGAUUAGUUAGUUGGUGGGGUAAAGGCUCACCAAGCCAACGAUUUGUAGCUGGUCUGAGAGGACGACCAGCCACACUGGAACUGAGACACGGCCCAGACUCCUACGGGAGGCAGCAGUGGGGAAUUUUGGACAAAGGGCGCAAGCCUGAUCCAGCAAUGCCGCGUGAAGGAAGAAGGCCUUCGGGUUGUAAAAUGCUUUUGUAAGGAACGAAACGGCUCUGGUUAAUACCCGGGGCUAAUGACGGUACCGUAAGAAUAAGCACCGGCUAACUACGUG